rnacentral:rRNA from 1 species
AUGGGGGUUCUCUCUAGUGAGGCACUUGAUAUGGAUCAAUCAAUUGAUAUUCUUCUCGCAAAUGCUUGUCAAGGAGAUGACAACCUACGGUCAGUAGCAGAAGGCAAACUAAAGCAGCUCCAUGAUCUUGACCUUUCCAACUUCCUCCUAGGUUUAUCAUCUCAGCUCUUGAGGGAGGAGACUCCAGAAGAGUCUAGCAUACUUGCUGGUAUCAUCCUUAAGAACUCCUUGGACUCAGGGGAGCCUGCACUCGACGAUCUAGGGAGUCGAAAAUGGCUCAGCCUCGAUCCAUCUAUCCAAUCACAGAUUAAGGAGAACUUGCUCCUGACUCUAGAAUCCAAUUGUGAUUCAAGGCGCCGCUCAUCAAAAAUUAUUGCAAAAGUUAUUGCAUGGGUUGCAUGCAUUGAGAUACCAAGGAAUCAAUGGGAGGAGCUCAUUGGCAAAUUGGUGGGGAACAUGUCAAUGCCAUCUUCUUCCCUAAAGCAAGCAACUCUAGAGGUGCUCGAGUAUGUCUUCGAGGAGAGCCCUUAUGUUCUGAAGGAGGAUCAAGUGGAUGCUGUUCUCGCUAGUGUCAUCAAUGAAGUGAAAAUGGAGGAGGGAGGAGAGCCAAGUUCUCAAGUUCGUCUCGCAGCUCUUAAAGCUCUACUCAACAUUCUUAAGUUUAUUGAGCUUGCUAAGCUUGAAGAGGAAAGUGGCAGCAGUUCUAUAGUGGCUGCAGUUUGUGAUGGUGCCUCUCGAUCCAAGGAAACCAAGAUCAAAGAGGCGGCAUUUGAGUGCCUUGUUGUAGUUGCAUCCAGAUAUCAUACCAAAUUAUUACCCCACAUGGAAAUCAUAGUGAGUCUUACAGUGGAAGCUUUGAAAGUGAAAGAAGAUGAAGAAUCACUCAGAGUCCAAUGUAUUGAGUUGUGGAACACUAUUUGCCGAAAAGAGAUUAAUUGCCGAGAAGAAGAAGAAGAAGAAGAUGAAGAAGAAGAUGAAGAAGAAGAAGAAGAAGAAGGAGGAGGAGGAGGAGGAGGAGGAGACUCUAUCUUUAUUGGUCAUCUUUGUUCAUUUGUUCAACCUCUCCUAGAAGCUUACAUGGAAAAAGAGAAAAACUUGGAAAAAGAGAAAAAAGAACAAGAAGUCGUUUCCAUGAGUGUAGAAGAAGAGGGAGAAGAAGAGGGAGAUGAUAAUUUAGAGGACAUGGACAUUUCCGUGAGUGCAGAACAAGAGGGAGUAAACCUUGACGACAUCUGGGAACAAGUGGAAGAUGAGAGUGUGCAAGACAUUUUCAUGACAUGCCUAGGCCUGGCCACUAGAACUAUGAAGGAUAAAGUUGUCCCCCUUGUGAUGAAAUUUGUUCAUGAGAAUAUCAAUGGGCCUAGUCGCAUGAUGGCCAUUUAUCCAUUAGGUUUUAUCCUUGAAGGUCCCUCUGUUAAUCAACUUGCUCCUGUAGUUCCUUUAUUGGUUCGCAUGAUGGAAGAUCCUCAGGAAGGUGAAGGUGUAAGAGGGAGGGCUGCAUGGAUUCUUGGACGGGUGUUUGAGCUUGUGGGAGCAAAUAGAAUCAUAAAAAAUGAGGUGGUGGACUUUCCUAGGAUCAUGACACUCUUAAUAAAGAUGAGCAAAGAUGUCCCUCAAGUGUCCAUUGAAGUGUAUGGAGCUAUAUAUUUUCUUGCAAGAGGUUAUAGAGAGGAUGCAAAGUCCACGUCCAAGUCAUCUGAGCUUACACCUUUUGUUAAGCCUCUUAUUGAUGCCCUCCUUUCUGCUUCAGAACUUGUUAAGGAGACCCCUUUUAGGAUUCCACCAUGUGCAUCUACUUAUAAAGCAUUGAGUGAGAUCGUGAGAGUGAGCAACAUUGAAGAACUAGAAAUUUGUGAUGCUCUUAUUGGAUUAAUGUCUCAAAUCUUCAGGAGGUUGAGCACUGUGGUUAAAGGUCAUGGUGAAGCAAUGUCAUCAGAUGAGAGGAAGAACCGUGGCCUUCUUGAGGUCUUGCAUUGUGGUCUACUUGAACUCUCAAUGAAGCAGCUGGGCACGAGCAACUUCGAGGUGGAGGCAGCAUUCACACUUAGGGACUCUGCUAGCUGUUUAUUGCUCCUUUGUGCCGUGUCUUAA